rnacentral:tRNA from 1 species
GUGUCCGUAGCUCAUCUGGACAGAGUGCAGGACUCCGACUCCUGAGGCAGCGGGUUCGAAUCCCGCCGGACACACCA